AGAGUUUGAUCCUGGCUCAGGAUGAACGCUAGCGGCAGGCCUAAUACAUGCAAGUCGAACGGCAGCGGGUCCUUCAGGAUGCCGGCGAGUGGCGGACGGGUGCGUAACGCGUAUGCAACCUACCUAUCACAGGGGGAUAGCCCGGGGAAACUCGGAUUAAUACCCCAUAAAGCAGGGAACUCGCAUGGGUUUAUUUGCUAAAGAUUUAUCGGUGAUAGAUGGGCAUGCGUCUGAUUAGUUAGUUGGUGAGGUAAAGGCUCACCAAGACUACGAUCAGUAGGGGGUCUGAGAGGAUGAUCCCCCACACUGGCACUGAGAUACGGGCCAGACUCCUACGGGAGGCAGCAGUAGGGAAUAUUGGUCAAUGGGCGAGAGCCUGAACCAGCCAUGCCGCGUGCAGGAAGACGGCCUUCUGGGUUGUAAACUGCUUUUCUACGGGAAUAAAAAGGUUCUGCGGGGCAAAUUGCAUGUACCGUAGGAAUAAGCACCGGCUAACUCCGUGCCAGCAGCCGCGGUAAUACGGAGGGUGCAAGCGUUGUCCGGAUUUAUUGGGUUUAAAGGGUGCGUAGGCGGGCGAUUAAGUCAGAGGUGAAAGGCAGUGGCUCAACCAUUGAAUUGCCUUUGAUACUGGUUGUCUUGAGUACAGUUGAGGUGGGCGGAAUUUAUGGUGUA
rnacentral:rRNA from 1 species